rnacentral:rRNA from 1 species
GCUCAAACCCUUUGUACCCUUUACCUUAGUUGCUUCGGCGGCGCCCCCUCAGGGGGAUGCCCGCCGGCAGUAUACCGAAUCUCUGUUUUCGAACCCGACGUAACGUCUGAGUGUUCUAAGCGAACUGUUAAAACUUUCAGCAACGGAUCUCUUGGCUCCAGCAUCGAUGAAGAACGCAGCGAAACGCGAUAAGUAAUGUGAAUUGCAGAAUUCAGUGAAUCAUCGAAUCUUUGAACGCACAUGGCGCCCCCUGGUAUUCCGGGGGGCAUGCCUGUCCGAGCGUCGUUUCAACCCUCCGGAAGGGUCGUCCUCACGGGCGGCCCCGCUCCGGGCGUUGGGGAUCUGCGAACGUAGCAGGCCCCGAAAAUCAGCGGCGGACCCGCGCGGCCCCUCCCUUGCGUAGUAGCAUCAGCCUCGCAUCGGUGACCCGUGGGACUCCAGCCCCUAAACCCCCCAACAAGCCCGGCCUGGCCGGCACAAGGUUGACCUCGGAUCAGGUAGGAAUACCCGCUGAACUUAAGCAUAUCAAUACGCGGAGGA